GGCCGCUUGGCCCAAUGGUUAAGGCGUCUGACUACGACCGAGCACGGCGUGUCUCUAUCUCACGAUAUACACACAAAACGUUGCUUGAUACAGCUAAUCAGGAGAUUCUGGGUUCGACUCCCAGGGUGGCCU